rfam:Virgibacillus pantothenticus strain DSM 26 super7, whole genome shotgun sequence.
UACAAGCUGCAAUGUACGUAUUUCAUUAAGUUUUAACCUCUAAUGAAGGAAUAGGGAGUUUUAUAUCGGAGUUUUAAUGUCGUGCCGUCUUUGAGCGGAAGACAGAACAGCUUCUGCAAACACCCACUUGGCGAAGUGGUGGUUUAAAACUUUUUAUUACAAAUACGGCAAUUGUGGCCUGUAA